GAGAGUCUGAGCUGUGUGCGCGUUCCAGUUCAGCGAGCAUGUCGUACGCGCAGGAACCCUCUGAAGUGCAGAGAGUAGGAAGGUACUGGACACCUCCACCACCCUUCUCCCCAGCCUCGGGGUUGCUCCCUCCCUCUGGCCCAGCCGUCACCCAACGGACCAAGGGUGCCUGUCUGACUGUGCCCUGCCUGGGGCACGGGCAUCACCUCUGAGCUGAUGUUGGGUGAAGGAAUGAAUGAUGGGGUGGUGACAGCACACAGGAGCUGACCGCCCCCAUCAGAGCAGCAGCCUCCCACUCCCAUUUCUUGAGAAGCCCUGCACACCCAGCGGCCUCUGGGGGAUGCCAGAGGGUGGGGGAAAGUCAACUGGUCACAAGAACAGCCCCGGAGGGACACGACGGAGGGACACGACGGUGGCAGGGGCCUGACUUCACCAAGAACCCUCCCC